rnacentral:lncRNA from 1 species
CAAAAAAUGUCAAAACUCUCUUAACUUCAAAAACCCAAUAGCCACCAAGUGUUCCCAAUUUUCGACGACCGACCGCGGCUGGGCUGCCACGUACCACUUUCAGCCAUCGGCGUUUGGCAUCAUUUCGUCCCCAUAUUUUCACGGCAAGUUGCUUUUGGCAUCCUAAUCCCUAUUCUAGUGUCAAUUUUGCCUAAACAUGCCUCUAUACCCAUAGAUCUAAGAGGAAAGCCCGAAACUUAAACCACGAAAUCUCCUUCUUCCACUACGCGAUCUCUAUGAAAUUUUAGUAUGUUAAUCUCUUUUCCAUGCUUUUUCUCCCUACCAUUCGGAUCUCCUAAAAGCCUUAUCGCCAUCGUUGAACCAUUCUAUGCGGCCGUUGCUUACAACCCAUGAAAUAGCUCCGCUUUUUUUUUUUUUUUUUUUUUUUUGCCUUUGACUGGGUUUCCUCCUCGAGGGAAGGAUUGUGGAUUUUCUUGAAUUUUUUAUGUUUUUUUUGUUGUAUUUUGGUUGCUGAUAGUGGGCACAAUGGCAUUAAGGGUGGUUGACAACGGUUAUUAGCGUUGUGGGUUAGCUGGAAAUGAUGGUUAUUUAUGGCAUUUGGUUAUAUGGUUUUAGGGUUUGGAAGUUUCCGGGGAUUUGAGGUCUUAGUGGCUGAAUGAGUUUCGGGUGGUUUGGGUUAUGUCUUGGUUCGGGGGUAGAUGGUUAGUGAUGGCUGUCUUGGCUACAUUAGAGGUUGCGGUGGGGCUAGGUUUUGGGUAUCGAUGGCUAUUUGGAGCAUAAGAGGUAGACUGGCUUAGGGUGCAGAUGGUGGUGUAGGAUUUCGAUAUUUCUAGUUGAAUGGUGGAGGGUCUCAAAGGUUGGUCAAUGUUGUGUUUUUUUCUUGCAUUGUGAUAGUGAUGCUAAGAAAUGAUGGUGGUGUGAUGAUGGGCUAAGGGAGAUGACAAUGAGGUCUUAGGUUUGGUCGAUGGAAGGUUGUAAUGGUAUAGGUGGGAAUGGCAGUAAAGGGUUGCCGAGCAGGGAUGUUAGGGCUUUUUGGUUGCUUGACAGUGGAAGGAUCAACAGUGGAUGGCCUUCGAAUGGGGGUUUCUGCACAAGCUGGUUCCAGGGUUUUUUCCUUACUUCAUGCCCAAUCCCCUUUUUGAAUUGUUUGCUCCUUCCUCCAAAAUAAGGUCCUCGUAGAGGAGGCUUAAGAACUAACAUUUUGGAUUAUUGCUGGUAUGGGGUGGAGAAGUUUGAUGAAUUUGGCAGAUUGGAAUGUUUAAUCAAUGGUGUUAGGGUUAAACGGGAAGCAACUGGGAGAGAGGUGUCUAAGAGGAGGAGAAAGUUGCUACCACGCUCAGCCAUGGC